AGUUCCAACUUAUUAAACACACUCAUAUCACGUAAUGUUCUCUUGCGUUGCCGCUGCGGUUUCCGUUUUCUGAAUGAGAAUAAGCGUACUGGGUGGCGGUUUAACGUCUGUGGUAGGUUGCUCUGAUGUGCUUAAAGUAGGUAGAUGGUAUAGUACAUGCGUGCUGUGCAAACCUCCUGUUGUCCCGGCGGUGUUCUUCUUUCUGUUUCACCGCCGCAGUCCAUGGUGGUGAGCCACACAUUUAGGUUAUAUACCGCCCAGAAUCCGUGUUUUCCAACACCAGGGAGGACGGGAUGCUACGUUACCGAUGAGCGAUGAGCUUGUCUAUAAAUACUGGGA
rnacentral:sRNA from 1 species